rnacentral:lncRNA from 1 species
GUCUCACCAGCAAGAGGAUGCUAUGUGGAGGAGCCUUUGGGAGGGUCUCACUGUGCAGCCCUGACUGGCCCAGAAAUUGCUGUGUAGUCUAGACGGGGCUUGGACUCACAGAGAUCCACCUGCCUCAGAUAUGCUCCAACGCUCCCCAUCUUUUCCAUCCUAUAGCUAGGAGUGUGCUUUGAGGGGUGACAUCACAGGGCUCUAGCUGACUCACACUGCGAGGUAAGGUCUGUACCACAGGGACAAUGAAGGUAGAAGCAGUGCGAAUCGGGAGCUGAGGUAUUCAAGGGUUAGAGCCCCGGCUCAGCUACCCUUGCAGGCCUCUCCGCUAGGCUGAGAGCUUUGCUGCUGUCUUGUUUAAGCAGUAACUGGGAGACUCCACUUUCCUCAGUUAAACCUAAUCCUUGCUGGUGACCACUCGUUCCUUUAUGUCACAUGACCCUUUGCUGGCCUUCAUCAGUGAGUCUCUAGGUCAUUUCCACUUAACUGUCAGAGGUCAAGAAUGUCCCAGCUACAGCUACUUCAACCAGUUCCCAAAAUAGUUGUCUGAAGCCCAGUAGGGACAAUAUGACUCAGUCCCACUCUGCAGGACGUGCUAACGCCAAGCCUGCCCGUUUAUGUAGAGGUGCUUCAUCGCUGGGGUAGGGGCAUUAGGGACACAUGUGCAGAACCCGUGGAAGUUUUCAGAAGACACAGCUAGUCUGUGUGUCUAUCAGUCUGGCUUGGCAAUAUGUUCCAGACUCAUUCCUCUGUGACAAGCAACCCCAUUUGUUCCAUAGGACAGCCUUCUUCGGGACUAUGGUAUGCCCAAAAGUCAGCUCAUAAAUAUAUCUUUGUCUGGAUUAGAAAGUCAAGCUGUU